rnacentral:lncRNA from 10 species
UUCAACAUGAAGUUUGGGGAAGUCAAAUAUCUAAACCAUAGCCAUGAGGAUGUAAAAACAGGCAGGAACCAUAUUAUCUGAAUCCUGUAGAUUUUUACAUUUAUCCACAGAGCAAUGGAAAGAUAUUAAGGGCCUAUAACAUGGUUUUUUUGUUGCUGUUUUUACAAUCUGGUGAAAGUGUGAGUACUGGAAUGGAGAAAGUCAAGAUUAGAAACAGGAAAACCAGUUUAGAGGCUAUUUGUCUAAGUCUAGGCAAUUUAUCAUGGUAGCUUCAAGUAGUAGCAAUACAGUUUGAGAGACAUGAACACAUUCAAGACAUAUUUUGCACAUUUGGGAAGUAGAAUUGGCAAGAUUUGAUAAUAAAGUGGAUGUGAGGAGUAAGGUAGAAGGAUUAAGGAUGUCUCCCAGGUUUCUGAAAGGGCAACUCAGUGAUUAAAAAAUCAUUUGCUGGUAUAGUGUGGAUGUUGUCCCCACCUAAAUGUCAUGUUGAAAUGUAAGUCCCAGUGUUGGAGAUGGGGUCUGGUGGGAGGUGAUUGGAUCACGAGGGUGAAUUUUUCAUGAAUGGUUUAGCACUAUCCACUUGGUACUGUCCCUUCACAGUAGUGAGUGAGUUCUCAUUAGAUCUGGUCAUUUUUAAGUGUGUGACACCUCCCCUCUAUCUUGUUUCUGCUUUCACCAUGUGACAUGCCUGCUCCCCCUUUGCCUUCUGUCAAGAUUGUAAGCUUCCUGAAGCCUCCCCAGGAGCCCAGCAAGCAUCCGCAGCAUGCUUCCUGUAAAGCCUGCAGAAUCCAUGAAAUUGAUGACCUGCAAACUCCAGGGGAGGACCCUGACCAACUUAGAUCAGAGAAACUUCCUCUUCACCUUAGAAGAUGUGCAAAGACAGAAAAUCUAUCAGAGAGCAACUAUGAGUGACCACUCUUCAAAUGUUACUAGCAUCUAUAAAAGAUUUUUCUUGAAAAAAAAUUCAAAUUUUAUUUUAUGUUUGGGGAGUAUAUGUGAAAGUUUGUCACAUAGGUAAACUCAUGUCACAGGGGUUUGUUGUACAGAUAAUUUCAUCACCCAGGUAUUAAGCCCAGUACCCAAUAGUUAUCUUUUCUCCUCCUCUCCCUCCUUCCUCCCUUCAUCCUCAAAUAUAUGACUUACCAAAUAUAUGAUUUCUAAAUGUCUAUUAAAAUGAUAUUUAUUGAGCUGACAAAUUUUGCAGGGUUUCAAAAAAGAAAAGGCACAUUAUAAAUACAUAAUGAAAUAAAACUGAAUUGGAAAGAUUGCCAGGACACAGAGGGAUUAAAAGAAUGAGGAGUAGGCCAGGCGUGGGUGGCUCACUCCUGUAAUCCCAGCACUUUGGGAGGCCGAGGCAGGUGGAUCACCUGAGGCCAAGAGUUAGAGACCAGUCUGGCCACCAUGGCGAAACCCCUCUACUAAAAAUACAAAAAUUAGCCAGGCGUGGUGGCGGGCACCAGCAAUCCCAACUACUCAGGAGGCUGAGGCAGGAGAAUAGCUUGAACCCAGGAGGCGGAGGUUGCACUACACUGAGCCGAGAUCGCACCACUGCACUCCAGCCUGGGUGACAGAGCGAGACUCUGUCUCAAAAACAGAAAAAGAAAAAGAAAAGAAAAAAGAGUAAGGAAUAAUUGGCUUAUCUAUACAAGAAACCAGCCUGGAUAUUGGCUCAAUUUAAACUAACUGAAGGCAAUUGCCCUGUAUGUUUUUUCUAAGACUAGCUGAGAGAUAAAUAUAAACAUUCAUUCUUUAAAUUUUUGAUGAAUGUAACUAGUACAAAUAAGCAGGAAAAAAAUAACAUUGUAAAUAGAUAAAAUUUCAUGUGUAACAUCAUAAUAUAUAAAAUCUGGUGCAAGUAUAUUAGAUUUUGUAGAAAUAAUAAUCACCAAAAAAUAUCUAAUAGCAGCAGUUAUAACUAAUAAUAUUUUAUAGAGACAAAACAAUCAGCGUAUCAAAUCUCAGUUAAAAACUUUAAAAGAAAAAAAAUAUAUUUUGAUAAAAAUUUCAGUAAAGUGAAAUAGCAAAGUUGUGAAUAGAUAACUGUACAGAAAUUGAUCAAUAGAUUAAACUGACAUGAUGUUUAUUACCCAAAAUAUUAUUUUCUUCCAAAUAUUUUCUCAAAAAUAAACAAUUUUGUCAUAAUUCUGAUUAAAAUGCUUUAGACUUCUGAAUAAAAAGCAAAAUUACCUUAGGGUCAAAAUCUGAAGUUAAGUGCCCAUUACCUAAAACCAGUCAAGCCAAAAUAUUCUGUGCCUGUAUUUAAAAUAUGCAAUAAAGACUUUCAGAUGUUUAAAAACAAGAUAAAUAUCUUUAUAGGAUCCACUAUUCACUAAUUAUUCACAUAACAAA